rnacentral:lncRNA from 1 species
GAGAGUGCAUGUCCAUCAAGGUCACGCUUGAGACUAGCAGAGGCGAAACCAGCGGGAAGACGACUUCGCCACCAAGGGCCGGCGGGCCUGCUGGGAUACUCCGGGUGAGUGGGACGCACUGGGCGGGGUUUCGCCGUUCCGAGGAUGUCGGGGAAGGGGGGUCACUGCCAGAUGGAGGUUCCGGUUCCGGUGCAGUGUCUGGCUGGUUGCGUUGCUACGGCAGCGCGGUUGAGCGCUCUCGUCUGUGUGAUCGGGGCUUCGCUGACUUUCCGGCCUACUUAAGCCCCUGGGCCUGGGCCCAGGAAGGGUUUGUUGAACCGGGAGCUAAGAAGGGAAUUGGCUCGUUCGACAGACGUCUUCUGCGCAGCUGUGGCGUGCAAGGCACGGGGCCGGUGCGGGACCUCCAGAGAGACCUGUGCCCAAAGCUUGAGAAAUGAGAAGCAGAUUCCUGGAUUCCAGGUAAAUCAGAGGAACAAACCUGAACAGAAAUAUACAGGAAGUGAUGUGAUGCUGAAGCUUAACGCUUAUUUCAGAAGUCUGGUAUCUGGUGCUCUUAACAGCAGAAACUAUAUUAUUUGCAAAAUCACCACGCUUUUACUUGUAUUAUAUAGUAAUUUUUUAAAAAAUAAAUAUUGACAAUUUGUCCUUGAAA